CCUCCCUCCCCUGCGCUUCCUCACGCUCUCUUGCUCUCUCUUUCUUUCUCUCUCUCGGGGAACAACUCAGGAUUUUUUUUUUCUCGCCUGUUUUUUUUUCUCCAUAAAAUCAAUCAGAGAAUCCGUUUCCGAAUCCGGAGCUGGUCGGUGAAGCGUGGGCUGAUGACACACACUGAUAAGCGGCGUGAUGACGGCGAGUUCUGACGCUUCUCGGACUUACAGAGUCGCACUAACUGGGUUCUGGAGCUAAUGUUAACGAUACUAAAAAAUCUUUUCUCUAGUUAAACACCAUUCUUCAUUUAUGUGUCCAUUUGUCUUAUAAACCGGCUGACCGUGUAGCUGCUCAGAUGAACCCUGGAGGCAGCGCUAUACAGCCGGAUCGCAUGGGCUUCCAUUUCCUGUCACUCUCGUUAACUAGUGCCAGAGCGACAAGUUAAAGCAACUUAAAUCACACACUGACAUUUUGUGUGCUAAUUCUAAAGAACGCUAGGUUUUUGAUCACGUGUUUAGACUCACGCACGUUUUUUUUUGUUUUUUUUUUUAGGUGAGCUGAUAUUAUCCGAUUCUCACCAUCAUCUAUGAUCACCAGACUGAACUCAGAAGCCCGGAACAGGAGGGUAAACGCUCGGACUGGGGCCUCUGACCCCGACCCACAAUGCACUGGGGUUCCAGAUCACUAAGUUCACUACUGUACUACACAGGGUUCCAGCAUACACCAGUCCUCUCCACGUCCCCAGAACGACUCGAACAGACGGACGUGUUCUGCAGCCUGACAAAAUAUCUACAAGGACGAGUCCAAUGACCUAGAACUCAGUGUGACACGCAGUGGCUGACGUGGUCAUCAUCACUGCUCAGGUUCUCUAAAAGCUCGUGGUUAUGACUGUUUAUGUGCAAAGUGGGAUUUGUCCUGUCCUGCUUUGUCCAGUGACUGAAGUUCAGUGUGAUUUUCACAGCCUUGGAGCUCGUGUCACGGAAAACGACUCUAGUUUCAGUCGCAAGCAGAGCUACAUGCUCAUAAACCAUUCAUGUGGCGGCCAAGGCUGCGCUGAGGCAAUCGUCUGCUGGAGUGUGCUCCCUCUCGUGAGCGUGCCGCCGCAGCUAUUUAAAAGCGCACCACAAAUGGAAUUCCGCCGGGCGCCUCUUUCAUCUUACAGAGACAGAGACAGAGAGAGAGAGCGAGAGAAAGAGAGGGGGGGGUGUGAUGUCGGGGUGGACGAGAUGAACGACUGGGGAAAAAAACGAAAAGCUGGAGCAGGUUGUGAGCAACCGACCUUCUGCUUGUG